UACGUAGGGUGCGAGCGUUGUCCGGAAUUAUUGGGCGUAAAGAGCUCGUAGGCGGUGUGUCGCGUCGGUCGUGAAAACUUGGGGCUUAACCCUGAGCUUGCGGUCGAUACGGGCAUCACUGGAGUUCGGCAGGGGAGACUGGAAUUCCUGGUGUAGCGGUGAAAUGCGCAGAUAUCAGGAGGAACACCGGUGGCGAAGGCGGUUCUCUGGGCAUGACCUGACGCUGAGGAGCGAAAGUGUGGGGAGCGAACAGG
rnacentral:rRNA from 1 species